rnacentral:rRNA from 1 species
ACGGGUGAGUAACGCGUGGGAAUCUACCUUUUGCUACGGAAUAACUCAGGGAAACUUGUGCUAAUACCGUAUGUGCCCUUCGGGGAAAGAUUUAUCGGCAAAGGAUGAGCCCGCGUUGGAUUAGCUAGUUGGUGGGGUAAAGGCCUACCAAGGCGACGAUCCAUAGCUGGUCUGAGAGGAUGAUCAGCCACACUGGGACUGAGACACGGCCCAGACUCCUACGGGAGGCAGCAGUGGGGAAUAUUGGACAAUGGGCGCAAGCCUGAUCCAGCCAUGCCGCGUGAGUGAUGACGGUCUUAGGAUUGUAAAGCUCUUUCACCGGUGAAGAUAAUGACGGUAACCGGAGAAGAAGCCCCGGCUAACUUCGUGCCAGCAGCCGCGGUAAUACGAAGGGGGCUAGCGUUGUUCGGAUUUACUGGGCGUAAAGCGCACGUAGGCGGACUUUUAAGUCAGGGGUGAAAUCCCAGAGCUCAACUCUGGAACUGCCUUUGAUACUGGAAGUCUUGAGUAUGGUAGAGGUGAGUGGAAUUCCGAGUGUAGAGGUGAAAUUCGUAGA